CUUGGUCAUUUAGAGGAAGUAAAAGUCGUAACAAGGUUUCCGUAGGUGAACCUGCGGAAGGAUCAUUAUUGAAUUGUUUGUUUGAAUUGGCUUAAAACCCCAAUUCAGCAUCCAUAUCCAUAACACCUGUGCACUGUUGGAUGAACUCGACCCUUUGGGUCUUGCAAGUCCACUUUUACACCAAACAAUUUGUAACAAAUGUAGUCUUAUUAUAACAUAAUAAAACUUUCAACAACGGAUCUCUUGGUUCUCGCAUCGAUGAAGAACGCAGCGAAAUGCGAUAAGUAAUGUGAAUUGCAGAAUUCAGUGAAUCAUCGAAUCUUUGAACGCAAAUUGCACUCUUUGGUAUUCCGAAGAGUAUGCCUGUUUGAGUGUCAUGAAAACCUCAACUCCAAGUUUGGUUAAUCCAAGCUUGGAUGUUGGAUGUGGGCGUUUGUCAAUGAUGAAUUGACUUGCCUUAAAAAUGUGAGCUGGAUUAGUCUUUGCACUGGUUCCCCUAGGCGUAAUAAGUAUUUCGCUUAGGACACAAGUUUGCUUGUGGCCAGGACUUUGACAAUAGUCUGCUUUCUAUACCCCAUACGCACUUGUGUGUAUAUUCUUGACAUCUGGCCUCAAAUCAGGUAGGACUACCCGCUGAACUUAAGCAUAUCAAUAAGCGGAGGAAAAGAAACUAACAAGGAUUCCCUCAGUAACGGCGAGUGAAGCGGGAAGAGCUCAAAUUUGUAAUCUGGUGGCCUCAGGUCAUCCGAGUUGUAAUCUAUAGAGGUGUUUUCCGUGCUGGCUCAUGUACAAGUCCCUUGGAACGGGCGUCAUAGAGGGUGAGAAUCCCGUCCUUGACAUGAACUACCAGUGCUCUGUGAUACACUUUCAACGAGUCGAGUUGUUUGGGAAU
rnacentral:sRNA from 1 species